GAUGAAGAACGUAGCGAAAUGCGAUAAGUGAUGUGAAUUGCAGAAUUCAGUGAAUCAUCGAAUCUUUGAACGCACAUUGCGCCCGCCAGCACUCUGGCGGGCAUGCCUGUUCGAGCGUCAUUUCAACCAUCAAGCCCCCAGGGGCUUGUGCUGGGGCCCUGCGGCUGCCCGCAGGCCCUGAAAACCAGUGGCGGGCUCGCUAGUCACACCGAGCGCAGUAGCACAUCUCGCUCAGGGCGUGCGGCGGGCUCCUGCCGUGAAACCCCCCACUGUAACCCCAAAGGUUGACCUCGGAUCAGGUAGGAAUACCCGCUGAACUUAAGCAUAUCAAUAAGCGGAGGA
rnacentral:misc_RNA from 1 species